UGGGUUGUAUUAAUAAGAAAGGAAACUAUAACUUGUUCCUAAGAAAAUAAAGCAUGGCCCAAACAUACACAGGCCUAUUAAAAUACUAAUAAAGAAACAAAUUAAACGACAAAAGAAAGGGAAGGUAACCCAGCUUUAUGAGCUGUCAUUUCUAAACCUUGUUGAAAAAAUCUUCUUUCUCAAUUAUAGCAGCUCCUGGAGAAGAUCAAUCGUCUGGCAAAAAUAAAUGGUUCUCUUCUCAAUCUUAAACCUUCGGUUCUUCUUCAACACCAUCCGCGAUCGACUUCAGCGAUUGUAAUAUCCAGACCAUUAUUUCUCUGGGCAAGGUGAGUGGUAUUCUUCAUUUUUAAACCCCUUGUUGCCAGUAUAUGCGCAUGCUCAUUAACUGUUCGUCUGACAUGUUGAAACUUACACUCGUAGAAGGCCUUACUCAGUUCUUUAAUAUUAUGGAUGUGUGCCCCUAUUACCGAUUUAUCUCUAUUUCUGCUUUUGACUCUUUUAAUAAUUGCCAGGGAAUCUCCUUCAAUUUCCACAUAUUUUAACCCCAGAAUCUUCCCCAUUUCAAGUCCGUGUAAACAUGCAAGGGCUUCAGCUGCAAGGUACAUUUUCGUUUAUUGUGGUUGUUGAAUUCAUGACAUCCCCAUUACAGUCUCUGAUGAUGAUUCCUGAGCAUGAUCUGUAGUUUUUAGUAUCCACUGCAGCAUCGAAAUUGAUUUUGCAGAACCCUUGCUCCGGAGGCUUCCACAGCUCUUGAGACAUUCUUGAUGUAGGAUAUAUCUGCUUUAUGGUGUUCAGCUCUUGGAGAUACUCUAAUAUAAAUCUUGCUGUCUCUGUUCCAGAUCUCCGUCGUCCUUCAUAGAUCCAUUGAUUUCUAGCAUGCCAGAUAGCCCAGAUAGCGCAAAUGAACAUACGGCAACUGUCGUUCUCUUUGUUUAGCAUGAACCAGGUAAACCAAUCCAAGAACUCCAAAUGAGAUAAAUCCUGGGGCCAAUCAUAUCGUAAUGUAUUCCAUGUUUCUUUUGUAACAGUGCAAUCACGGAAUAUAUGCUCCCUGUUCUCCAGGCCUUUCUUGCAUCUUGGACAUACUCCCUCGUUUGUUAAUCUUUUGAUUCUUAGAUUCACUAGAGUAGGCAAAUAAUUUAAGGUGGCUCUCGAAACUGUAAUAAGUAUUUUUGAAGGGAGGUCACUAUCCCAUAGCUUGUAACUAUUAUUAGUAAGCAAGUUACCAUGUAAUAACAAUUUAUACCCACUUCGCACUGAGUAUUCACCUGUUGACUCCCCCCUCCAAGCCAGAAAGUUGUCGUGGGGAAUUGUAGUGAGCGGGAUUUGGAGAAUUUUUUGGACAUCAUCUGUUGAGAAGGUGUGUUCGAGCAGCUCUGUUUUCCAUGACCUAUUGUUACUGUCGAUUAGAUCUGCUACCCUCGUUUUACUCUGAUUUCUCACCCCCUGUUGAAUAUGUAAAUUUUCAGCAUUCGGAACCCAUAUAUCCUCUUCAAUUCGAACAUCUCGUCCGUUGCCAAUUCGCCAACAAAGUCCCGACAACAAGAGACCCUUUGCAGCCCAUAUACUUUUCCAAGUGUAUGAGGGUAAGUUUCCUAGUUCUGAGUUUAGGAACUCUGAAUUUGGAUGAUAUUUAGCUUUUAAGGUUUUCGCUAGAAGAGAAGUAGGAUUUUCAAUUAGUCUCCAGCCUUGCUUCGCGAGAAGAGCCAGGUUAAAUUUUGUCAAAUUGCGAUAUCCAAGGCCUCCAUUCUCCUUUAGUUCACAUAAAUUACUCCAAGAGCACCAAUGUAUCCGUCGUUUCCCAUACCCUUUUUGCCACCAGAAAUUUGCUAUUAUUUUUUCAAUGUCUUCACAUACUGAUUUUGGUAACAGAAAGCAGCCCAUCGUAUAAGUUGGAAUUGCUUGCAAAAUAGCCUUUAUGAAGACUUCUUUCCCUCCCUGCGAUAACAACCUUGUGCUCCAGCUAUCAAUUUUUAUCUUGAUGCGAUCUUUUAAAUGUUGAAAAGCCUGGCGUCUCCUUCUUCCCACCAUGUUUGGUAGGCUUAGAUAUUUCUCAGAAUUUGUUGACACCUUAAUCCCUAAUCUAUUUGAAAUAUUAAAUCUGACCAUAUCGUUAGUGUUUGAGCUAAAGAACACAGUUGAUUUCCCAUAAUUACGCAUUGCCCUGAGCAGCUUUCAUAUUCUUUUAAAACUUGUUCGAAAGAACCCGUACCUUCUUCAGAUGCCUCCCCAAAAAGAAUACAAUCAUCAGCGAACAGUAGAUGAGUAAUCUGGGGACUCCUGCAUGCUUUAAUUGCUCUCAGAGACCCUUCCUCUCUUGCGAGUCUUAAUAGAGUCGAUAAACCCUCACUGCAGAUGAGAAAUAAAAAAGGACUCAGCGGAUCUCCUUGACGUAAUCCCCUCAUUGGCCAAAACGUUUUCCCGACUCCACCAUUUAGAAUAACCGAGUAGGAGACUGUGCUUAUACAGUGCAUAAUAAGUCGAAUCCAACUUCCAUCAAAUCCCAUUUUGCCCAUCAUUUGCUCCAAAAAUUCCCAUUCCACCCUAUCGUAUGCCUUGCUCAUAUCGAUCUUUAUUGCCGUAAAACUCUUCUUUCCCACCCUUUUGUUCCUCAUAGAAUGUAGAAUCUCAUAAGCAAGCAAAACAUUAUCAGUGAUUAGUCAACCUGGUAUAAAGGCACUUUGAGCAAGAUCAAUACAAUGUUUAAGGACGUUUUGGAAUCUAUUAGCAAUAGUUUUGGAGAUUAUUUUGUAAAGGACCGAACAAAGGCUAAUUGGUUUAAAAUGUGAUGGGUUUCUCGGAUGAGAAAUCUUCGGGAUUAAAACAAUAUGUGUGAUUAAGGUUUUGCAGAGAUUGUCCUUUAUUGAGAACGUCUAAACAAAAAUCACAAACCUCACCUCUCACUAUGUGUCAAUAUUUUUGAAAAAAGAUUGAUGGGAAGCCGUCAGGACCUGGGGCUUUUGUUGGACCAAUGUUGUUUAGUGCCUCAGUGAUAUCUUCCUCUUUGUAUUUUGCAGUUAACAUAUGGUUUGUUUCCCCACUGAUUUUCCUCGCAACACCUGAAAGAAGAUGGCUAGUGUUGCCAAUCCCAUUGGAGUGGAAGAGCCUCGUAAAAUAGUCUCGUAAAAUCUCUUCAAUUUCUUCCUCUUCUGUUCUAAGAAUACCCUCAUUGUCUUCUAGCCCUCGUAUUUUAUUAAUUUUGCGUCUCUGAGAUGCCAUAUUGUGAAAGAAAGUCGUAUUUCUGUCGCCGUGUCGCAACCAAUUUGUUCGGGCUCUCUGCUCCCAAUACAUCUCUUCCUUCUCCGUCUCCCAAUUUAAUUCUAAUUUCACAUCAAUUAUUUCUGCUAAAAUAUCAUCAUCCCUCUCCAUGUUAUCGAGCUCAGACAGUCAUUCACGGAGAUUCAUUGCUCUUUUCCGAUGUUCUCCCUUAACGUUUUUCUCUCAUCUUUUGAGGGCAACCCGGAUGUGUUCUAAUUUUUCAAGGACAUUUCCAGACGUCUUUGUCCAAACUUCCUUAAUUAGAUCCUCGCAUGACGACUCAGUUAUCCACCAAGACUCAAAUCUAAAGAAACAAUUUCCAAAAUGCUUCAUCAUUGGCGUAGUUUUGAUGAGGAUCGGACAAUGGUCAGAAAAAGAGGGGGGUAAAUUUUGUACGAAAUAAUCGUUAAAUAAAUUCAUCCAUUCCAAGUUUGCAAGCCCCCUGUCAAGCCUCUCCCUUAUAUUUGUAUCCGCGAAAUUUCCCCUUUCCCAUGUAAACUUUUGCCCAUGAAAACCCAUAUCAACUAGAUCAUAUUCUUUUAAAACUCUUCUAAAUUCCUCCAUUUGCCGUUCAUCCUUUACUCUCCCUCCAAUUUUCUCGUGUGCAUACAUAAUCUCGUUAAAAUCCCCACAUACACACCAUGGCAACGAAUACAUCUCUUUUAAUUGGCGGAGUAAAUUCCAUGAUUCCUGUUUAUUUGCUUGUCGUGGAUUCCCAUAGAAGCCGGUGAACCGCCAUUUAUUUUGGUUAUUUUCGUCGGUAAUUCCCACAUCAAUAUGGGAAGUUGAAUAACUGUAAACUUGAAUUAGAUUAUUCCCGUUCCAUGCAAGACUUAAUCCUCCACGAGGACCUUCAGCUGAGACAUCCAAACCAUUUUGAAAACCACGUCUCCGAACACGUUCUCUUAUUAUCUAAUUUUGUCUCCAUCAAGAAGACCAAUUGGGGAUUAUAAAGCUUCAAUGUAUUUUGAAGCCUUCAAAUGGCCCGAGGAUUCCCCAAUCCUCGGACAUUCCAGCUCAGAAGUUUCAUUGCUUCUGGUCAGCUGACCGUUUGGCAUCCGCCGAUAUGGUUUGUGGAAGAGCAUCGUCAUUCUUUAAAGGAGAUAGAAUAGGCUGUAUUGUUGAAAUAACUCCGGAGUACCCAUCAUCGAAUUUUGCUUUUUUUAUUCCGUUUACGGGAUAUACUUCGGGAUCAAGAUCCAGUACCUGUUCAAUUUUUCGCUUUCCAAUUUGACUCUCACUCAUAUUAGAAUCAUUGUUCUCUCUGCUUAACACACGUCGCCACCUCCUUAUCUUUUGUCCCAAAAUAUCUUCAACGUCAUUAGUGGGCCCAUCUAAGGCGGAUUUGUUUUUAAACUGGUCCCCUUCAGUACCUCUAUUUGUGUUAGAAUGUCUUUCCUCUUCUUCAGUGUACCAAUUUUUAUUUAAUUUAUCUUCCCCUUUUAUAGGCGAAACUUGAGGCGAAAGAUAAGCAGUAGUAUCCUUAAAGUUUAGCUGCGAAAUUUUUGUUCCCCUGUUCACAGAGUUCUCUUCUAAGUAAACUUCCUUCACCGUCCGAUUGGUUGUUCUCCUGGGUUCCGGCCGGAUCUCCUCUUCUUUGCGCUAAUCUUCUUUGCACUCCUUUUCCCCUUCUGUAUAGGAACAUUGUUUCAUUGUUUUUUUCAUCAGUGAACCAAAAACUAAACAUUCUUUCCCUAUGGCAGACGAUUCGGCCUUAAGUGCUAUUGAGAAUGGAUAUUCUUCUCCUUUAUUAUUAUUCCCCACAUGGAUAUUUGGCCUUAAUUGCAUGUAUAAGAUCCUUCUUAUCACACUUUGGAGGACAGGGACCAACAUUUAACCAAAACGGAGAAUGAACCAGUAUGAUCUUGUGUCUUUCAAUAGGUUGCGCCAGCCGCUCAAAGAUAAUUAGUUGUUUCCGGAAGUGCCAUGGUCGUCCUUCUAAAAUCUGUUCUAAAUCUUCCUCAUCUUCAAAUGAGAUUGUAAAUAAAUUCUAACAUGCGAUCUGAAUCUCAAAUUUCUUUUUUGUCUUCCAAAUGCUUUUUAGUUGCGCUCGCAGGCUGUGUGGAUUAUAUGUUUUCCUCGUCCAUACUGAGCAGAUCAACGUCGGAUUCUCAACUGGGACCUUAUGAUCUUCCUGUUGAAAAGUCAAAAAUGGUGGGAGGUGCAAUGACACCGAAAGAGAAAGUAAAAAGUGGGUGGCAAGUUGAGUUUAAAGUUGAAUGGGAUAAUUGCAAUUUUGGUCCCUAAUUUUUAGGCUGUUUGGAAGUUAAUCCCUAAACCUUAAUUAUAAAUAGGCCUAACCAUUUCUCAUUUCAACCAUCCCAACCAAUCUUUCUCUCUUAAUUUUCUUUCUUCUCCCAUUUGAGAAUUUUUAAGGAAUUCUAUUUGUUUGUAAUAUUUUGGAGAUAAUAAAGUUAUCAUCUGGUGUUAGUGCCCGAGGACUAGGUAUAAUUUACCGAACCUCGUUAAAACUCUUGUGUUCUUUUUUGUCCUAUUUUUCUUUCAAUAUUUGAGGGUAUAAUAGUAGUAUUUAAUUGUGCUAUUAAAUUACUAUAGAAGGGAUAUUCUGACUAAGGAAAGGCUUGGUAUUUAAGAGAUCCAUGUGAUCCACCUCUCUUCCUUGGGAAUUGAACUUUGUGUAAUUUUUUAGUACAAUAAUUUACACGCUUCCGACCCUAUUGGAAUAACACUUCCGUCGUUCCAAAGUCACCACUCAUCUCCUUCCCAACCACAGUAUUCACUAUUUCUUUGGGAGAUCUAAGAGAGCACUCUUGACUUUUUAUUUGUUUCCUCUUUUUAAAUGAAGCCGCCGAGCUAGAGAAGGUUGGCAGAUGGUUAAAUAAAACGACGCAUAGGUGUAUUAAGGUAGAUUUCACGAAGGGACGAAGUCAAUAUGUCAAUUUUGCAGCUCCUUACAAAACGGCGAAACGGGUGGAGGAUGCAGAAGGAAAGAAAUAUCUAUACUAUUUUUAUAAAUUGAUUUAACAUGCUUAAUUUUUUAUUUUUAUCUUAAUUUUUUUUAUUUUUAUCAAUUUUCAAGCAAUUUCUGAUUUAAUCUCGUUGUUUGGACCGUUAUACUAAUCGAUUUUAGUUUAAAUGGUUCGACUAAUUGAUCCUAUCAUGUUCUAGUAAUACUAAUCACAUCAU
rnacentral:lncRNA from 1 species